rnacentral:rRNA from 1 species
AGUCACUGACAUUAGAUACCCGCGUAGUCCCAGCCGUAAACUAUGCGCGUUAGGUGUAUCGGUGACCACGAGUCACCGAGGUGCCGAAGGGAAACCGUGAAACGUGCCGCCUGGGAAGUACGGUCGCAAGGCUGAAACUUAAAGGAAUUGGCGGGGGAGCACAACAACGGGUGGAGCCUGCGGUUUAAUUGGACUCAACGCCGGACAACUCACCGGGAACGACAGCAAUAUGUAGGCCAGGCUGAAGACCUUGCCUGAAUCGCUG